UACAGAGGUCUCAACCGUUGUUCGGAUUCAUUGGGCGUAAAGGGUGCGUAGGCGGUCGUGCAAGUCGGAUGUGAAAUCUCGGGGCUCAACCCCGAAACUGCAUUCGAUACUGCGUGGCUCGAGUACUGGAGAGGAAACUGGAAUUUACGGUGUAGCAGUGAAAUGCGUAGAUAUCGUAAGGAAGACCAGUGGCGAAGGCGAGUCUCUGGACAGUUACUGACGCUGAGGCACGAAGGCCAGGGGAGCAAACGGG
rnacentral:rRNA from 1 species